UCAAGCUUGCAGAUGAAGUCAGCGGGUUACUUUUUGCUUUUCUCACUUCUAAACUAUAAUCUUCUUUUAAGCGCACAGUCAAACUCCUCAAAGAAACAAGGCAGCUAAAACAAUGUUUAAUCUGGGCCUCUUGGGGAUCACUGAGUGCUGUUUGAAACAAGACGAGGGUGUCAAUUAAGAAGAAGAAACUUCAAAAUGGAGGCGAUUAAACUUUGAAAUCUUUAAAACGCUCCCUGCUGAAUUGUCUUCUCCGUGGAAAAGGUUGCCAAAGUGCACUGUUUUAUUGUGCAUCGUGCAAUGAGGAGAGACAAGUGGUAUUUAUUUACUCUGCUGCUGCUGUCAACACGCCUCCACCCAACGUCUCCGUCGGCUCUCUCCGCGUCCAAGCUGUCACCGAGGGUUUUUAAACACUCGCUGCGAGACGUCAAGUCAGCUCGUCGACGAUGAGAUACCACUCGCAUGUGAGGAAGUGUGAAGGACAGGAAGAGUGAGACGCGCUAACACGCUCAUUACUGUUUCCUCUGCUGCUGAGAAACGUUUCAAACCAAUGGAAGAAGUAUUCACAUCUCGUACUUCAGUAAAUGUACUAAUACUUCACUCUCAGAACACUUCAAGUUAAACUCCUGCAUUCUGAACCUUCGUACGCGGAUAACGAAGCUAAUGGGCUAAUGUUACAGUUAGCAGCGGUUAGCAACAGUUAGCAGCUAUUCAGCAACAAGUAAAGCUAUCGUUCUAUUGGGAAACUCCAUGAAUGUCGUCAGCACACUGGUUUUAUAUUGGUUAAAAUGUCUCAGAGACUGUAAAACCUCGGACACAACAAGCUAACAUCAAACUGACAACAAAGGCCAACCGAUGUGCUGCCCCACGCUGUUGCGGCACUUGAACACACCACAAAGACAGCAGCCAAUCAGCAUGAGUUGCUACUGUUUGUCCUGAGAUCAUAAAUGAAGCGAACUUCAUCACAGGUCAUCCAGUAUUUACUGAGAUAUUUUAUAUUUUUUAAAUAUUUUUUUUAUAUAAAAUGUCAUCAGACUCUGGCUUCAUCUCACACAUAAUAAUGACUUCAUUAGAGAGAAAAAUUUUCAGAAUAAAAGCCUCAUGUCUUGC